CGUCGAUUGACGUUACCCGCAGAAGAAGCACCGGCUAACUCCGUGCCAGCAGCCGCGGUAAUACGGAGGGUGCAAGCGUUAAUCGGAAUUACUGGGCGUAAAGCGCACGCAGGCGGUCUGUUAAGUCAGAUGUGAAAUCCCCGGGCUUAACCUGGGAACUGCAUUUGAAACUGGCAGGCUAGAGUCUUGUAGAGGGGGGUAGAAUUCCAGGUGUAGCGGUGAAAUGCGUAGAGA
rnacentral:rRNA from 1 species